GUCACUAUAGCUCAGUGGUAGAGCGUACGAUUGCAACAAAAGUCAUGUGACGGGUCACGUAUUAAUCACGUGACCAUCGUCAUCGUAAUGUCCUGUGUUCGAACCACAGUAGCGACU